AACGAACGCUGGCGGCAGGCCUAACACAUGCAAGUCGAGCGAGAAGACGUAGCAAUACGUUUGUAAAGCGGCGAACGGGUGAGGAAUACAUGGGUAACCUACCCUCGAGUGGGGAAUAACUAGCCGAAAGGUUAGCUAAUACCGCGUACGCUUCUUGGACUUCGGUUCAGGGAGGAAAGCGAUGCCGAGGGUAUCGCGCUCUUGGAUGGGCUCAUGUCCUAUCAGCUUGUUGGUGAGGUAACGGCUCACCAAGGCUUCGACGGGUAGCUGGUCUGAGAGGACGAUCAGCCACACUGGCACUGCGACACGGGCCAGACUCCUACGGGAGGCAGCAGUAAGGAAUAUUGCGCAAUGGGCGAAAGCCUGACGCAGCGACGCCGCGUGGGGGAUGAAGGUC
rnacentral:rRNA from 1 species